rnacentral:rRNA from 1 species
UACAGAGGGUGCAAGCGUUAAUCGGAAUUACUGGGCGUAAAGCGUGCGUAGUCGGUUAUUUAAGUCGGGUGUGAAAGCCCCGGGCUCAACCUGGGAAUUGCAUUCGAUACUGGAUAGCUAGAGUUCGGCAGAGGGAAGCGGAAUUUCCGGUGUAGCGGUGAAAUGCGUAGAUAUCGGAAGGAACACCGGUGGCGAAAGCGGCGCGCUGGAUCUCUUCUGACGCUGAGGCGCGAAAGCCAGGGGAGCGAACGGG